UGUUCCUAUCAGGGGAAGAGGAAAUUGAGAACUUUAGGCCACCCACCCAGGGGAGACCUGCCCCAGGCUAGGAGUUGUCUGGUUCCUGAGGCUGCCAUGGGCUCCAGGCUCCUUUGCUGUGUGGCUCUCUGUCUUCUGCGAGCAGGCCUGGUGGACUCUGGAGUCAUACAGACCCCAAAAUACCUGAUCAAGUCAAGAAAACAGCAGAUGACACUGAGAUGUUCCCUGUGUCUGGACACCUCUUUGUGUUCUGGUAUCAACAGGCCCUGGGCCAGGGCCCCCAGUUCCUCCUUCAGUAUUACAAUAUGGAAGAGCGAGAAAAAGGAAACAUCUCAGAUCGAUUCUCAGGUCAACAGUUCAGGGACAACCACUCUGAGCUGAAAUUGCUCUCCUUGGAGCUGAAGGACUCAGCCCUGUACCUCUGUGCCAGCAGCGAAGACACAGCCCUGCACGAUCAGCAGCCUCCAGUACAAAAACAGUCGUGCCUCAGCUCAGGAAGUGGCUGCCAGGGUGUCAGCUGCCAGGCAGCCAGGCUUAGGCCUUGGUAAUGCGGACAGCCUUUCCCAGACAUUCUUUCUUUAUGAUAGGUUUUAUUAUUUAUCUAUUUUCUUUAUGAUAGGUUUUAAUGCUUGCAAAGAUGGCACAAGAUAAGUAUUAUUGUACCUGUUUAUAUAUUUGAGGGGAAGUGACUUGCCCAGAUCUCAUAUUUUACAACUGUCAGAGCAAGGAAUCAGACUCAGGUCUGUUCUUUAGCACCUAUGGUCCCUGCUCCCAUAGAACUCCCUGCCCAUCGCUCCCAUAGAUUGACCAUAUAUGUGAUUUAAAGAAUUGGCUCACAGAGCUGUUAAACUAAGUCCAAAAUCUGCAAGCUGGACUGGUACAGAGACUCAGGGAGAGCCAAUGUUUUGUUUGAAGGCAGAAGAGCUGAUGGUUCAACUUAAAAGCCAUCUCUCUUACCUGGAGGAGGAUCAGCCCUUUUGUUUUAUUGUGUCUUCAACUGACUAGAUGAGGCCCACCCACAUUGCAGAAGGCAAUCUGCUUUACUAAUUAAAAUGAUAAUCCAACCUAAUGUUAAAGUCUACCUGUAUACACAUUAAUCUCUUCCAAAAACACCCACACAGAAAUACCCAGAAGAAUGUUUAACAAGAUACUUGUGGCCCAGUCAAGUAGACACCUUAAAUUAGCAUCCACACCAUCUUCCAGAGUUGUAUGAAGAUUUAGGAAGCAUGCAGCUCCUGGAACAUAAUAGGAAUCUGGAUAUCUUGACUGCCUUUGCUAAUCUCGACAGCCUCAUCCACCAUUUUCCAGGGGCAAAGGUAGAUAUGGACACAUUUUGCCUGUAGUUGAGGACUGCAGAAGUCAUAGAAAUGAAAAUAUU